rnacentral:rRNA from 1 species
UACGUAGGGUGCAAGCGUUAAUCGGAAUUACUGGGCGUAAAGCGUGCGCAGGCGGUCUUGCAAGACAGAUGUGAAAUCCCCGGGCUUAACCUGGGAACUGCAUUUGUGACUGCAAGGCUGGAGUGCGGCAGAGGGGGAUGGAAUUCCGCGUGUAGCAGUGAAAUGCGUAGAUAUGCGGAGGAACACCGAUGGCGAAGGCAAUCCCCUGGGCCUGCACUGACACUCAUGCACGAAAGCGUGGGGAGCAAACAGG